CCUUUAAGCGGUUGUUUAGCUUCUGCAUGUAUUUAUAUAUAUAUAUAUAUAUAUAUAUAUAUAUAUAUAUAUAUAUAUAUAUAUAUAUAUAUAUAUAAAUAUAAAUACAUGCAGAAGCUAAACAACCGCUUAAAGG